CCUAAACCCCUCCCCUCCCCCAAACCCAAAUCUUCCUUCAUAUACUUUUCCUUUCGUCUUCCUCGUUUAUACCCAUUCAUUCAUAUCCCCCUGCCCUUUCAUCUUCCUUCUUUUUACACACACAGACAGGCAGAGUACUUACGAUUAUAUAAAGGGGACAGUUUUGUAAUAUGUUUGUUAAAUAGAAGAAGAUGCAAAUGAUGUACGAAAUUGAUCAUCAAAAGAGCAGUAGUACUGAUCAUAUCUUAUUUGAAGCGAAGUUUAUUACUGAUGAUAAUCUUUCGACGUAUUUGAGCUCAAGGGCAAUCUUUAUAAUGGUGUUAUUAACUAUUUCACUUCUUGUUUUGCCGUUGGUUCUGCCGCCACUUCCGCCGCCGCCAUUAAUGCUUCUCUUUAUCCCAGUUUUGCUAAUGGUUUUGCUUGUUUUUUUAGCUUUUACUCCUUCUCAAUUGCCCAAUGUGGGUAUUACUUAAUUCUUUGUAAACAAACUAAUUAUUCCCCUUAACUGUGCAUGCAAUUGCAAAUAUAUAGAACCGAAAGUAAUUUUGGCUUGGACAUUUUUUCUGGUUUUCAAGGUAGCUAUUCAUUGUUUUGAUGAUAAGCAUAAUUUUUAUCGAUUCAUUCACAGAAAAUUACAAAUUAAUUUCUUUUUGCGUGUAAAAUUAUAUUUCUUUGGCGUAUACAUAAAUUAAGUUAUAUUCUUGUCACACCGACGUGUAUAUUCUUUUGGCUUUUAUGAAGCAAAGGAGGUGAACCUGGAUUCUGAUGAUGAAUUAAGUGUUGAUUUUUGCUGUUGUAUAGUUAAACGUUAAAAGCCUGCAGUGAUGUAAGUUCCAAAUAAGAAAAGAAAAUUGAGAAAUUGAAGUUACAUCAGAAUUUUCGUGGUGAACUGAAUAAAACUUACUGUAUAAGGAAAACUUAGUUUGAACUAAUUUCUUCGGAGAAUAUAUGGAAGGAUUUGCUGUAAGAAUCAGAACUUGACUAUUCUAGUUAUUAUCGUUCACACAUAAUUAAAGAAAUUUUAAAAAAUGGUACAAUUUUGGGCAGAUUUUUUAAUUUACUUAGUGAGUUCUACCCUUUAAAAUUGGUAACGUUAAAUUCAUUGUAUUGAACUCACUCUUUCAAUGUAGAUUUUGUCUAGCUUCAAAAAUAGUUCUCUCAUCUGAUGAAUCUAGUAUUUAAUAUGAGUAAAAUAUAGAAGAGUAAAAUUUUUAUUCCAU
rnacentral:lncRNA from 1 species